CAGUCGCCACGGUAAUACGUAGGGUGCAAGCGUUAAUCGGAAUUAUUGGGCGUAAAGGGCGCGUAGGCGGCGGCCAAAGUCAGGCGUGAAAUUCCCGGGCUCAACCUGGGGGCUGCGUUUGAUACUUGGUUGCUUGAGUGGGGAAGAGGGUCGUGGAAUUCCCAGUGUAGAGGUGAAAUUCGUAGAUAUUGGGAAGAACACCGGUGGCGAAGGCGGCGACCUGGUCCUUUACUGACGCUGAGGCGCGAAAGCGUGGGGAGCAAACAGGAUUAGAUACCCCUGUAGUCCCUGUCUCUUAUAC
rnacentral:rRNA from 1 species